UGAGAUUUUGGAGCAUUUUUAUUUCAGCUUUUCAGAUUAGGGAUACUCAACCCGUACAAGGGAAAACUUGUCACUGUGCUGGUGAAAAAAGAAGCUGUGGAGGAAUCCCUUUCCCUAAAGGGCUUUGGGUAACAGAUGGUCCUCACUCACUCUGAACAGUUUCUCCAAGGGCAGGCCUGCAGGCACAGCUCUUUUCCAGCAGCCUCAGGAUUUCUAAGAAUGAGCUUCAUAUUCCGGGAAUUCAGGAAAUCUAAUUGCAUUCUCAGGAGAUUCUAGUCCUGCCUCUGUCAAAGUUCAUCCUUACUCAUCUCUCUUAACCUUUCCUGGCCUAAGUUUUCUUACCUCUACAAUGAAGUUUUUUCAGCCACUAACUAGUGAUGGUGCAGUAAGCAAGUCACUUGUGUAAUUGAGACUUAUCUGCCAGAUUUUUAGGACAGGGACUCCGCAUCCAAGCCCAGGAUUGGCAGACUGAGGUGGGCACAGUCCCCAGGACUCCAGUGUAGAUGAGACAUUUCAACUCCAAUCGUAUCCAAUAUCCUCCUUUUUUCCAACACCCCCUUUUUAUAACACAUGUUUUGUGGUGUCUCUUUUACUACUAUUGUUAUGAAAGUCAAGUAGUUUGGUAUGUAAAUGCUCUAGCCUGUUUUAACUGGCUGGUGUGAAGAAGUGUCAGGCAUUUGCAACUGACCCAAGAUCUCUGUGAACCUGUGGCAUUAAAGACAGAGGCACUCUGUAGUGAUAGCUCAGAUUCAAAUAUGGUAUUGCUGGCUCUGAUGUGUUUCUCUGAAAUGGAGAAAAUCUCUAGGUAAAAUCCCCCAAACAAACAAAAAACCAACAUAUAUCUUCCUUUGAGUUGCCUGGUAGUUACAUUCCUGGAAAAUUCAGUGUAUAUGAGCCUGGGGUAGUAGGUGGUCACUAAAUAGUCAAGAAAUAAAAUAGCUGAAAAAUAAAACACGUUUUUACGUGUGACUUUAAGCCCAGAUUAUAAGCAGGUUUUUCAUAUAUUAAGUAUGUUUGUAUGUAGGUCGGGACCUCUGGCCCUAAGCCUCCAGAAAAAUAUUCCAGUGACCUCAUCAUUGGAACAACCAAAAAUAGACCUAUUAAUUUCCAAAGCGCCCCAUAGAGGGGCUACUGCCUCCACUGAGACUCGCUUGUUAUAGAGAGUGGGAAAUUGCUGAUCUCAUUACCGGGGGGGUGGGUGGAGGUUGGGUACGUGAGAAAAGCAACCCUGCCCUUCCUCUUUCUCGGAAAUCACCAGGCUUCGGAGAAAGAGCAAACAUUGCACGGGAAAGUCCCCUUUUCUAAUCUGAAACAGCGCUUUUUGCCCAGAGACCGGUGACAAGCCACCCUGGGCUCGGGUUUUGAUUGGGCAGUUCAAAAGCCGUAAAAGCGAAUGAAAACUGGGGGUGGGGAAAGAACUCUGUGCUUUACGCAAUUCAGCUGGAGUUUGCACCGUGAGGCGCCACUUGGAGACCUUGGCUCUGCUGGCUAGGCGCCGUGGGCAGCCUGGGCACGUCCGCUUUAAAAAUUCAGAUUAAGCUGUCUUAGAAGUGGUUCCUAGAAGAUUCACCUCCUCUGUUAGCACAGCAGCUGUGGAAGUGAAGACAGGACUGGAACCAGAAUAGGAGCUCAUAUAUACUGGAAAACCUGAUCUCUGAAUUCUUAUGUAAGUCAGAGAGUGACCAACAGUGGUGAGACAUUGAGAACCUCAACAUUUGCUAUAAACUUUGCCACAGAUCACUUCUCUGAAGACUAAAUCCAAAAAAGCACAAUGAAUACUGGGAUAUGCUGUGGUAGCAAGGUCAAUUCCAGACAAGGCUGAGAAUUCCUUACAGCUGUGAAAGGAGGCCCAUCUCCUGACAUGGCCCUGCACGCAGAACUGAUAGAACUUGGGGAAAGUGAUGAAGUAAUUGACCUCACCUGUGAGUCUCAAGAACCUGUAGUUAUAGACCUGACGCAUCAUGACUCUGUUGUGAAUACUAAACGAAGCAGAAGGCCCAGGGGAAACACAAGGUCACACCAAGGCCAAACUGGCAGUUGUGUGGUGAGCACUGAUGAGGAGGAGUUGAUGAGGGACAGAGAUGUAUAUGUGACCAACAGUGUCCACCAUAAUGCCCUGGAAGAAGAAACUCUAAGUCAUACACUACCUGGUUAUAUCUGGUGUCGAAUUUGCAUGGAUGGGUACACAGAGAUUGAAGUUAGUAGAAGACACGUCUACUCUACAGAAUGUGGUCACAUCUUCUGUAGUCGGUGCCUCUGCACUUCCUUUAAAUAUACUAAAACUUGCCCAGUUUGUUUGAAAAAAAUCAGCCAUCGUCAGUACCACCGCAUUUAUAUAUGAUGUGUGCCUUUUUGCUAAGGACAGACAGACUCUGGCUGGAUUUUUCUAUGUUCUUGUGCAGGAACUGUGGGUUGUUGACAUAAAAUUCUCUGAGCUUUAAUAGCCUGAUUUUUUUUAUGAUUGUUAUCUGGAGUAUAUAAACUCUUUUAUUUUUCAUAUACUCUGAGAUUGCUUUUUGUUUCUUUUGGUUUCAUGAUUCAGGGCUGGACUUUGGUUGCCAUAGUGUGCCAGAGAUGUGGUUGUCUCAAAGCAGUUUUCCCUUUCUUUCUCAUAGUCAUCAAGUUUUAGAUGGCCACAUGUGGACAUUUUAGACCAUAUAAAUAAGGGCAACAACCUAGAGACAGUGGAGCAAGGAUACAGAAAGAACUUGGGAGACUGACAACUUUGUAAACCAGAGCCCUACACACGUUUGGACUUUUAUUUGAGAGAUAAAUAAAUUUCAUUCUUGCUUAAGCAUCCAUUA